rnacentral:misc_RNA from 1 species
UUGAUCCCGCGCGGCGCCUUCGUGCCGUGUGUCCCUCAGCUCUCCCGCCAUCUUGUCAAGCUGUUGGGCGUGUGGUUUAGCCUUGUACUUUCUCAAGCCAUGGCUAUGGAGACACAGGCUCAAUCCAAGAACCUUGAGAACGUCAAGAAAGAGCCGCAGACGCCUAAGGCCAAUGAAAACAGUGAUAACGCCAACAGUUUCCGUGGUGGCGGGCGAGGCGGCAGAGGAGGAUUCCGUGGAAACCGGGGUGGCGGCGGCGGCCCUGGCGGCGGCAGGGGCGGUGGACCUGGUUCCGUACAGACCUCCACCCCGGUCCCAGGUGGUAUCGGUAGCCUGGGCGCCACCAACCAGGGCAUCCCUGGUGGCAUAGGAUCUCUGGAAGGCAGUCGCGGCGGUGCCCACAAUGUCGGGCGUGGCGGCGCCCACCAUGCCAACAGCACCCCGGGCCACGCUCCUAACAGCAACGCCGCCAACAACGCGGACUCUAGACCUGACCACCAUCGGGGCGGUGGCGGUGGUGGUUACUACAGGGGCGGGCGAGGAGGUCGAGGGCGUGGAGGAGGCGGCGGCGGCGGCGGCUACGGCGGCGACAGGGGAGAUCGAGGACAGGUGGGGAAGCGGCCUCCUCUGGGUGGUCUGAAGGACAGAAUUAUUGAGAGACUGAAGCAGUUGGCUGGGCCGCUGAUUGACUUGCCACCCCGUGAGGAAACUGUUCGCAAGUUCUCCAACCAUUGUAGAUUGUGGGUGGGCAACCUGCCGUUGGACAUAAAGGAGGAUGACGUUAGAGAACUGUUUAAGCCUUUUGGAGAAUAUGAUGAAGUGUAUUUUGACAAGAACAAGGGAUUUGCCUUUGUUCGUAUGGACUACAAAAGCAAUGCAGAAAAAGCACGCCAGGAGCUCCACAUGAAGGAUUACAAAGGUCGGCAGCUAAAGAUACGCUUCUCGUCUCCUGGCACAGCACUCAAGAUCCGUAACCUUUCAACGUGGGUUACUAAUGAGCUCCUGGAGAAGGCAUUCUCGGUAUUUGGUGAAUUGGAGAAAGCCAUUGUCAUCACUGAUGAGAGGGGGAGAGCCACUGGAGAUGGCAUUGUGGAGUUCUGCAAGAAACCCUCGGCCAACUUGGCUUUGAAAAAGUGUAACGAGGGUUGCUUCUUCAUGGUUGCGUCACCGCGUCCUGUCAUUGUGGAGCAGAUGGCUCUUGUUGAUGACAAUGAGGGCAUGAGUGAAAUAAACAUCAACAAACGUAACCCAGAGUAUGUGAAGGAAAGACAGCAGGGUCCUCGCUUUGCCCAUCCUGGUUCCUUUGAAUAUGAGUAUGGCCUUAAGUGGAAACAGUUGUACGAGCUGUUUGACAAGAAACGGGAUGCACUGGAAAAGGAGCUCCAGGAUGAGAAGAGGAAGCUGGAAGAGCAGAUUGAAUAUGCUAAAUAUGAACACGAAACAGAAAUGCUCCGUGAACAGUUGAGGCAGAGAGAAGAAAUGAACCAGAGGACUAAAUCUGAUUAUGAGGCAAGACAGCGUGAAUGGGAAGAACAUCGCCGCACUGAAGAGGAAAGACAACGUCGACAGGAGGAGGAACUUUCUCAGAAGUUCCGACAACAGGAGGAGGAGCUUAGGCGCCGGCAAGAGGAGAACAGGCUGUUCAUGCAGGAGCGUGCCAAUGACUUGAUGAAGAGUGAGAACAGUCAAGAUAGCUUUGGAAGCAGUGGUUAUCCAGGUAAUGAGGGCAGUAACUGGCGUCGCAACAGUGAUGGUUAUAGGUCUCAGGGAGGCAGCAGUUGGCGUGGCGGUGGCAGUGACAAUUGGGGCCGUUCAGGCAUGGGGAGCCGAGGGGGCACUGGCUCCUCUGGCAUGGGUAGCAGCUGGGACAGUAACUGGGAUGGCCGUCCAGACCCUUGGCAGAGUGACAAUCGGAGUGGUUAUCAGCGUGGAGGCAACGAGAAUGAGCUGCCCCCUCCCCCGGUAACUUAUUACAGAGGCCGCAAUGCAGGCUACAGGCGUGGCAACAGGAUGGGUUUGGUAACGUGACCGGUGCCACCCAGCCGGUGAAGCAGCUGUAGGGGCUGAACUACCCGGGUGGCAUGUGGGGAUGAAAAGGGAGCUGGGCCUGGAGGAUGCACAGGGUGUAGUCAAAGGAGGCAGUUGGGUUGUUUCCACUGCACCCUGUCAAUGCCAGAGAGGUUGGCUUCCAUCGUGGGUGGUUGAGAGGUGCUGUUAUCCACACGAGGUCUCCAGCGGGUAGUUGUGUUAUUGACCACCUUAGACUUGCUCAAAUUCUAAUUAAUUUUAGUUAAUCAUAUAUAUAUAUAUAUAUAUA